UCUCUGUUAGUAUAUCGGUUAGUACACGCGCCUGUCAUCAUUGACCGCGCGAAAGCGGGGUUCGACUCCCCGACAGAGAG
rnacentral:tRNA from 1 species